rnacentral:rRNA from 1 species
GACGAACGCUGGCGGCGUGCUUAACACAUGCAAGUCGAACGGAAAGGCCCUGCUUUUGUGGGGUGCUCGAGUGGCGAACGGGUGAUUAACACGUGAGUAACCUGCCCUUGACUUUGGGAUAACUUCAGGUAACUGUGGCUACUACCGUAUAGGUGCUCCUGCUGCUUUUCGUGGGUUCUACAGUUUCUGCGGUUGGGGAUGGACGUGCGGCUUUUCAGCUUGUUGGUUGGGUAGUCGAUUACCAAGGCCUUGACGGGUAGCCGGCCUGAGAGGGUGAACGGCCACAUAGGGACUGAGAUAGGGCCCGGACUCAUACGGGAGGCAGCAGGGGGGAAGAAUGCACAAUGGGCGGAAGCAUGAUGCAGCAACGCCGCGUGCGGGAUGACGGCCUUCGGGUUGUAAACCGCUUUCGCCUGUGACGAAGCGUGAGUGACGGUAAUGGGUAAAGAAGCACCGGCUAACUACGUG